CCUCCAUUGGUAAGCUCUGCCCCUUCUAUUUUUAUUUUUCUAGCUGUGAAUUUCUUAAAAUUUAUUUGUGUUAAUAUCAUUUUGGCCAAUGAUUAAAAUUCUUUUAUAGACAAGCAUAUGUCUGAAUUUUUAUUGUGUUGUUAGCCUAAUCUUCUCUAUGAGGCCAAUAAAUAUUUAUUUAUUUUUAUUAUUCACUUUAAUCCUUUUUAUUAUAUUAUUAUUACUGGGUCAUAUGAUGAUUAGAAGCAUAGUUCAAAUGAAAUCUAUUGUGAUUUUAAAACUUCUUUUUAGUCUUUCGCUCCUAUCUGAUGACUCAUUCAUUAGUUUCACUUAGAUUAAAUAAAAUGUUGAAUAUUUAAAAAAAGCUGAUUUAUGCUGUUUAGGUAAAUUUUUUUGUUAAUUUUUUGCCAUUUAAAUAAUUAAUGGACAGUGACGACUCAUAUCAAUUGGUCUCGUUCGUCGUAAUGGUAUUUAAAAACUACCUUGACGACCAUUCUGAUAUAUCACCACCCAUAAACUGAGUCCUCCAAUUUAAAAUCUUAUGUUUAAUUCACUUUUUUUUAUUAUGUGUUUUGAUUUAAUUAAUUUUUUAAUGAUGCUCCUAAUUAGUAUAGGAAAAAAUAUGCUGUAUAGUCGCUUUAAAAGUUAAUAACCAAUUUUGUGUGUGUAUAUUAAUGUAUAAUAUACAAAAGUACUACGUAUUUUAUACAUAAUUAGUUUAUAGUUACUGUAUUGUUUUUGGUCCAUUGGUUAAAUGUGUAACUUGCCCAUUGUUACAAGUGUUAAAAUUUGAAAUUUUAUUCAAAAAUGCUUUAUUUUUGCUUUUCUGGUGCUGUGAUGAAAUGUUUUUGUGUCGGAGACUUUUGGUCAGUGAUGGUUUACACUAACCUCUAAGAAGUUCUGAGCACUUUGAUUUUUUUUUUACUAUUUUAAUAUUUUUAACUAUUAAAUUUCAGCACUUUUGAAUUAGUGCUAAAUAUUUAUUAAACGCAGUUUUUAAAUAUUAUUACAAUUUUAGCCAUAUUGAAUUUUAAUGGUUGUUUGAUGUUUGUAAUAGUUAUUAUUUAUUGAGGAGGAAAGAAGUGAUGAUAGAAUUCAUGUCUGUCAAUCCACUGAAUACAUUAUUAUGAUGUAAAGAGUGAAUCCCGACAGGUUCUGAUCUUUCAUUAACCUCCUAUUAACAAACAUUCCUUAGGGCAAAUGAUGAAUCUUAUAAUAUCGUAAAUGGGUAAUUUGCGUCUGAAUUUUUCAUUGAUGUUAUAACCUUGGAGAACUGAUGCCCUUAA
rnacentral:lncRNA from 1 species